rnacentral:rRNA from 1 species
GACGAACGCUGGCGGCGUGCUUAACACAUGCAAGUCGUACGGUAAGGCCCUUUCGGUGGUCCUCGAGCGUUGGACGGGUGCGUGACACUUGAGUAAGCUGCCCCCACCUUUGGGAUAACGCUAGGUUCCUGGUGCUAAUACUGGUUAUGUGCUCCUUCUUCAUGGUGGUGGUUGGAUAGCUCCAGCGGUUGUGGCUGGACUCGCGGCCUGUAACCUCGUUGGGGGGGGAGUGGCCUACCAAGGCGGCUACGGGUGGCCGGCCUGAGAGGGUGACCGGCCACAUUGGGACUGAGAGACGGCCCAGACGCCUACGGGAGGCAGCAGUGGGGAAUAUUGCACAAUGGGCGCAAGCCUGAUGCAGCAACGCCGCGUGCGGGAUGACGGCCUUCGGGUUGUAAACCGCUUUCAGCAGGGACGAAGCGUUUUGUGACGGUACCUGCAGAAGAAGCACCGGCUAACUACGUG